AGAAUCAACGCUGGCGGCGUGCCUAACACAUGCAAGUCGAACGAGAAAGGGGUAGCAAUACCCUGAGUAAAGUGGCGCACGGGUGAGUAACACGUGACUAACCUACCCUGGAGUGGGGGAUAACUGAGGGAAACCUUAGCUAAUACCGCAUAAUACCCACGGGUCAAAGGAGCAAUUCGCUUCAGGAGGGGUCGCGGCCGAUUAGUUAGUUGGCGGGGUAAUGGCCCACCAAGACGAUGAUCGGUAU
rnacentral:rRNA from 1 species